AUGGAAUCUCGUGCUGUUGCCCAGGCUGGAGUGCAAUGGAGCGAUCUCAGCUCACUGUAACCUCUGCCUCCCGAGUUCUCCUGCCUCAGCCUCCCUAGUAGCUGGAACUGCAGGUGCCUGCCACCAUGCCCAGCCCUCCUCCCUUAAAGGCAUAACUAGUGCAAGCUGACUCCAAGCACAUCCAGGAACGCACUUACUGAUAAAAUAUUGAGGCAAGCUAAAUCAGCAGUUCCUAGGGACGCAGUCGGGGGAUGGUACCCAAAGCCCCUGCAUUAUCUCUUUGUGAUAAUUUGAGCCUCUGCACCUGGAACUGUUUACUUUUCUGUAACUGUUUCUGUAACCAAUUAAUCUUUUUUAAUUGGUUUGCCUGUUUCUGCUUCUGUAAAAAUUGCUUCAGCUAAACUCCCCUCCCCUAUUUAAACCACAGUAUAAAAAGAAAUCUAGCCCCUUCUUCUGGGCCGAGAGAAUUUUGAGCUCUAGCCGUCUCUCGGUCGCUGGCAAUAAAAGGUCUUCUGAAUUA